CAGCAGCCGCGGUAAUACAGAGGGUGCAAGCGUUAAUCGGAUCUACUGGGCGUAAAGGGCGCGUAGGUGGUUAUGUAAGUGAGAUGUGAAAUCCCCGGGCUCAACCUGGGAACUGCACCUUAUACUGCGUAGCUGGAGUGCAGUAGAGGGUAGUGGAAUUUCCGGUGUAGCGGUGAAAUGCGUAGAUAUCGGAAGGAACACCAGUGGCGAAGGCGGCUACCUGGACUGACACUGACACUGAGGCGCGAAAGCGUGGGGAGCAAACAGGAUUAGAUACCCCUGUAGUCCCUGUCUCUUAUAC
rnacentral:rRNA from 1 species